rnacentral:rRNA from 1 species
GUGAGGAAUAUUGGACAAUGGGCGCAAGCCUGAUCCAGCCAUGCCGCGUUCAGGAAGACGCAUCUAUGGUGUGUAAACUGCUUUUGUACGGGAAGAAACACUCCCUCGUGAGGGAGCUUGACGGUACCGUAAGAAUAAGGAUCGGCUAACUCCGUGCCAGCAGCCGCGGUAAUACGGAGGAUCCAAGCGUUAUCCGGAAUCAUUGGGUUUAAAGGGUCCGUAGGCAGUUUAAUAAGUCAGUGGUGAAAGCCCAUCGCUCAACGAUGGAACGGCCAUUGAUACUGUUAGACUUGAAUUACAAGGAAGUAACUAGAAUAUGUAGUGUAGCGGUGAAAUGCUUAGAUAUUACAUGGAAUACCAAUUGCGAAGGCAGGUUACUACUUGUGGAUUGACGCUGAUGGACGAAAGCGUGGGGAGCGAACAGGAUUAGAUACCCCAGUAGUCC